CCCUUAGAUGUUCUGGGCCGCACGCGCGCUACACUGAUUCAUGCACUAAGUAUAUAACCUUGGUAGAAAUGCCUGGGUAAUCUUUGAAACUGAAUCGUGCUGGGGAUUGGAGCUUGUAAUUAUUCUCCAUGAACGAGGAAUUCCUAGUAAACGCGAGUCAUCAGCUCGCAUUGAUUACGUCCCUGCCCUUUGUACACACCGCCCGUCGCACCUACCGAUUGAGUGAUCCGGUGAAUAAUUUGGACCGACGCAGUGCUCAGCUUCUGGACGUUGCGUUGGAAAGUUUCAUGAACCUUAUCACUUAGAGGAAGGAGAAGUCGUAACA
rnacentral:rRNA from 1 species